UUGACAUGCUAUAAUAUAACGCACUAAUUUGUUCUGUGGUUUAAAACAGCUUUUCUUCAUUUGAGCUGAAUCAUGUACAACAUCAAUGUGACGUGUGGAGCGAAUGAGACUGAAUACAGACUUCAUGCUGAUUUACUGAACUACACCAAUAAUCCUGACUGUGAUCAGAGCUGGUAUUCACAGGACAAGCGUCUGUUAGCAGAUCCAUCAGAUCCUCAAACACUGAAUGAUCCUGUUAUUUCUGUCUCGUCUGAUCGUCUCUUCACUUCUCACUGUGUGGAUGAAGUUCAUCAUGAGAUCAUCUGUCAUCCUGCUGAAUUCAGAUAUGAGACUAUAUUCAGAGGAAUGUUUUUGGAUUGA
rnacentral:lncRNA from 1 species